AUGGAAGAGGUUCGCUCUAGGAAAAAAGAGCUCUCGGUGCUGAUAGAGAACUUACUGGACCAAGAGGAAACUUCUUGGGCCCACCGAGGUAGUGUGAGAUGGUUGCGCAGAGGUGAUCGUAAUAGCCAAUACUUCCAUCAAUUUGCUUCGUCUAGGAAGAGGAUAAACUUGAUAAAGAAACUCAAAGAUAAUAAUGGGUGGGUUGAGGGUGAUAACCUCGGCGCACUAAUUUCCAACUACUUUGCUGGUCUUUUUACUUCUGAUGUUGCAGAUUAUGACCAAGUUGAUGUUCACAGGAUCCUACAAAUCCCUCUUCGUGUGAAGGUGAUGGAAGAUUUUGUAUCAUGGCAUUAUUACCGUUUCGGAGCUUUUACUGUGCGGUCCGCAUAUCAUAUAGAAUUUCAGCAUCAAUUUGGCCGCAACUCGAACGAGACUACUGCACAAGGAAGCAAACCAAACAAAAUAUGGAAGCGCGUUUGGGAGCUUCAAAUCCCUGGCAAGGUUAAGCAUUUUGUCUGGAAGGUGAUCAAGGGAGUUUUACCAUGCUAUGGUACCCUAGCAGGACGUCAUAUACCUGUCACGGGGCAAUGUCCGAUAUGCCAUAUAUGUUUUCAGGAUGCACAACAUUGCUUGUUUACCUGUGAAAGUGUGAUGAAUAUCUGGAGUGAGCUAGGACUAAAGGAAGAAAUUCAGAAAGCUGUGCUAGAGGACCGAUCAGGAUUUUCACUAUGUCUUCCCUCAUGGAUCGGCAUGAUACUACGGCAAAUGGUCAAGGGGGAGAUGGUUCGGCAGCCGAACCAAACUGCAAUAUCAAUAAAAGUUCUAGCGACAAAUUUCAUCCGCUCACUAACACCAAACCAGCCAGUGGUAAAACGUGAUCAUAUGUGGCACAAGCCAAAGAGAGGAGUGGUCAAAAUUAAUGUUGAUGCAUCCUUCAGUGCAGAGACCAUGACUGCAGUGGAUGCGGCAGAGAUCAUAGCUAUUCGUAAUGGAUUUUACCAAGCAGCCAAAAUUGGAUGCAACAGCUUACACAUUGAGUCUGACAGCUCUAACACAGUUGAAGCUCUUAACCUUGAAGCUUUUCUUGGGUGGGAUUCGGCAACUCUGUUGGAGUGUAAGGAGAUGGGCUUGGACUUCGCUCAGUAUGAAGUAACUAAAUGCCCAUGGGAAGCUAAUAGUGUAGCUGAUUGUAUAGCUAAAGCAUCUUUGUCUAAUAGAUCCUCUGAGCACAUGUUGCCGCAGCGGUGCUGCAAGGCGGCAACAAUGAGUUACAGGCGAGAGGGCGAGAUGAGAUGCUACAAUGAGCGACACUAUAGAGAUGGCAAUGGCGACUCGCGACGGGAGGCGAGGAUGCUGGCAGGGGAGGACCACCGAGAUGGCGGAGACGGGUGA
rnacentral:rRNA from 1 species